AAGAUUUUCAAUUUCGGUAUCGGUAUCUCCCAUCGACAUUUGGACUUCUCCCUAUAACCUCGGUUUUCGCCGGGGUUUUU
rnacentral:ncRNA from 1 species